rnacentral:rRNA from 1 species
UACGGAGGCUAUAGCGAAUGGGCAACACUUGUUCCCAUCCCGAACACGAAAGAUAGUCCCUUAAGUGCCGAUGGUGCUAUACCGUUAAUAUUAUGGGAGAGUAGGUCGCCACUAUUU